AGAGUUUGAUCCUGGCUCAGAUUGAACGCUGGCGGAAUGCUUUACACAUACAAGUCGAACGGCAGCACGGGGCAACCUGGUGGCGAGUGGCGAACGGGUGAGUAAUAUAUCGGAACGUGCCCAAUCGUGGGGGAUAACGUAGCGAAAGUUACGCUAAUACCGCAUACGAUCUACGGAUGAAAGCGGGGGAUCGCAAGACCUCGCGCGAAUGGAGCGGCUGAUAUCAGAUUAGGUAGUUGGUGGGGUAAAGGCUCACCAAGCCAACGAUCUGUAGCUGGUCUGAGAGGACGACCAGCCACACUGGAACUGAGACACGGUCCAGACUCCUACGGGAGGCAGCAGUGGGGAAUUUUGGACAAUGGGCGCAAGCCUGAUCCAGCCAUGCCGCGUGAGUGAAGAAGGCCUUCGGGUUGUAAAGCUCUUUCGGCCGGGAAGAAAUCGCAUGGGUUAAUACCCUGUGUGGAUGACGGUACCGGAAUAAGAAGCACCGGCUAACUACGUG
rnacentral:rRNA from 1 species